CCGGUUUUUCUUGUCGGAUUAUUCCUCCCGAGCUUCUGGUGCGACACAGCAGUAAAUGCUGGCCUAUCGGUUAAUUUUACGAUCGGAUCGUGUGACUGCUACAGCGCGGCUGUUUCUUUUUUUUUACUCCAGCCGUGGUGGAGAGACGCGUGAGUUGCGUCCACCGUGUAGUACAGCGCCUCCAGUUUUGGGGAUUUGAUUGCUGCCGCACCCUCUCAGGGAUAAACUGCCUGAUUUUAAGCGAAGAGUUGAGACGCCUGCCUAGCUGCUGUCUUGUCUUGCCUUGUUUUAUCUUGUGUUCCGAUCUGUUGGUUGUCCAGUUUUGUUCCUGCUGCUUACCUCGCCCCUGGGGGCUUUGGGUCUCACGCUAAGCCCCUUUUGGACUAUCGUUUCACUCCAGCUUUCGCGGCGGGUCGGGGCGAUCCUCAGCUGCAUAUUGGGCUGGUGUUACAAAACUGGUACUGCCUCUCCCUUUUUUCCCAGUUGUGGAGAGCUGCACGAGACUGAGUGGGGCUACGGACAAUCGGAACCAGCACCAGCUGUGGGCUGGCUCGCAGAGUACAAGUACUUUUAAUCUGUGCUCUGUGGUGUGUAUGUGGGUGUGUUUUAUUGCAGAUCUCCGUUUUUCUUUUAAUUUCUUUUUUAGUAUAUAGAGAGCCUGUUUUAUGUCCCAUGUUUUUAUCCUUUUAAUGUGUAUGUCUUGUGCUUUUAUUUCAGCGAACUGAGGAUCUACCAGCGGCCGUGGGACCUUACGUGGCGGGUCGUUUUCCACACUUCUUUUGUUGUACAGCACCAGGUGAAUAGACUAUAGUAGGUUUUUGUGUGGUUUUCUUUUGGUCCACCGCUGCUGGUAAGUCCCAGUUGUGUUUAUUUUUAUUGUAAUUUGGGACACAGUUUUACAUUCAGUGCGCUCAGUGUUUUGUUUUUAUUUUACAUUAAUAAAUAAAAUUGUGUUAAUAUUUGAGUCGGCCUCAGUGUGCAUCCCUGAACCUGUGCAAAUGUUGUUGUUUUAAUUACAUUUCAUUUUUAAAGUUCAUAUUUCCUGGGGGCUAGAAUUCCCCCUCAGGUGGC